UAUAUAACAUAUUGUACUUUGGAAAGAUUGAAAAAUUUAUAUUCUGAAUUGAAUAAAAAUUAUUUUUUGAUAAAACUAGAUAACGAGACUGAAGUUAUAAGAGCGAUAAUGUUGACUUAGAUCUGUCCAAACUAUUUAGUAUUUUUACCAUCGAUUCUAAAGUAGGUGAGAAACGAUACGAAAGGUAAGUAGGUGAGAAACGAUACGAAAGGUAAGUAGGUGAGAAACGAUACGAAAGGUAAGUAGGUGAGAAACGAUACGUAUUCAUACGAGACUGAAUGUUUUCGUUUCGUUCUCGUAUCCACUGGUGGGUCGCUUACUCGACCCACCAAUGGAUACGAGAAAAACAAGAAAAAAAUUAUUUUCAUUCCAAAAGCUACAGAUACGCCACAAAGAUGGUGAAAAUUGUUUCUUACUAUCUAUCGGUAAUAUUCCAACUAUUUUUUUUAUCUACAUCUGCUAUUUCGUCAGCGUGGUUCAUCCAUCUAUCGCUAAAAUAAAUAUUAUUGUUUUUUAUUUCACAAUGAGGGAAAUUCGUUUAUAAACAUUUUAUCGAAUACCUCUAACUAAAGUAUUCGAAGCCAUCUUUACGGUUGGAUUAUCGAAUCGCCUAAUUUCCGGUCCUCUUUCGGAUCCGUGACGUAUUUUAAUGGCGCAAGAUGCCCAAAUAGGGGGUUGUAGGAGAUAAAAGUUCUUUCCCCAACCGCCGAUUUAUUGCUAUUACUAUUUCUUUCAGAAGUCGGACAACGAUAAACAGAAAUUUUAAUCGAGUUCUCGAACUUUAUUUUUCAGUAACUUUAUUUUUCAGUAAUUUUAAAGUUCUCGAACUUUAUUUUUCAGUAACUUUAUUUUUCAGUAAUUUUAAAGUUCUCGAACUUUAUUUUUCAG
rnacentral:lncRNA from 1 species